rnacentral:rRNA from 1 species
UACAGAGGUCCCGAGCGUUGUCCGGAUUCAUUGGGCGUAAGGAGCUCGUAGGCGGCUGUUCAAGUCGAACGUGAAAACUCGGAGCUCAACUCCGAGCCUGCGUUCGAUACUGGACGGCUAGAGUCUGGUAGGGGGAUCUGGAAUUCCUGGUGUAGCGGUGGAAUGCGCAGAUAUCAGGAGGAACACCGGUGGCGAAGGCGGGAUCCUGGGCCAGUACUGACGCUGAGGUACGAAAGCGUGGGGAGCAAACGGG